GGUUGGUCCGAGAGUAGUGGUGUUUACAACUAAU
rnacentral:piRNA from 1 species